CAGCAGCCACGGUAAUACGAAGGGUGCAAGCGUUAAUCGGAAUUACUGGGCGUAAAGCGUGCGUAGGCGGUUUGUUAAGACAGAUGUGAAAUCCCCGGGCUCAACCUGGGAACUGCAUUUGUGACUGGCAAGCUAGAGUGUGGCAGAGGGGGGUGGAAUUCCGCGUGUAGCAGUGAAGUGCGUAGAUAUGCGGAGGAACACCGAUGGCGAAGGCAGCCCCCUGGGCCAACACUGACGCUCAUGCACGAAAGCGUGGGGAGCAAACAGGAUUAGAGACCCGAGUAGUCCCUGUCUCUUAUAC
rnacentral:rRNA from 1 species